AUCCAAAUAAGCUGAAAACGUUUGAAAUAAAGAGAAAAAACUCAGCAAAUGGAAUUCAGGUGUAAUCUUAUUAUUAUUACUGGUAAUUAUUAUUUAACAAUCUAAAAACCAACAAUAUAUUAUCAACAAACAAACAACAAUCAUUUUUGCCAACAGAUGGCACUAUAUGUAAAGAAGAUCCAGCUGGUUUAGAAUUGAAAGAAGCCCGAGGAAGAACCCAAAAGGUGUUAUGAAAACAUUCGAUAUUCAAGAGUUAAUCUUAAUUCACACCGGUUAAUAAUUGAAAGAAUGAUGUGAUUAAAUCUCUUGACUGUAGCUUCCGGGAAAUUUUGAACUUAACAAUUGAAUGUAUUUGAAAUAAUAAAAUUUAUUAAAGAUUUAUAUUUAGUGCAAAACUUACAUCUGUAAUGAAAUAUAAUUUCACCAGAAGUGUCUAAUCGCUAGUUGCAGAUAAUACUUGAUAGUAAAAAUAUUAAUCUAAUUAUUAAUCAGAUAUAUCUUAAGUGUAUAUAAACAAAGUCGUUCAUAUACAUUUCUCCAAAGUAUGCAUUCAUUUUCAUUUAUGCUUGAAUUCCAUUUAUGAAUUACAAUACAUUUUUGAAGAUGAAACACGAAAGACACUUGAACUAUAAAUCAC